GUUCACUCUCCGAUGGAUGCAUCGGAGAGUAAUUUGGGGUUAGUAUCUUGCCCAAGGAUAUUUGGCAUGCAGCCUAGGGGAAGCCAGGAAUCGAACCUCCAACCUUCCGAUCAGUAGAUGACCUGCUCUACCAUUAUCGUAACGUAUCUAAAUAACCCCCCUGACUGUACUGCCACAGAGUAAAUAUUUCUGUUAUGUUCUUCUAAGUACAAUUACAACACAUAAGUAAACAAUUGAGCAAUACUUCACCUAAAAUGGGCUGAGUCUCGUAUGUCUAAAACACAUUUAAAGUCUGAAGCCACACUAUCAGCAGAUGAGCCAUGAUGGAGUUUGUUCACGUUGCUGUAGCUGUGCUCGGUCUUCUGUCUCUUGGACACUCAGCUCCUGUGACAAGCUGUGAGAAUCUAAUCCAGCCUCGUGAAAUCCACGGAAAUCAGCUGCUGGGCAAAUGGGUACUACUAGGAGAUAGUAGAAGCAUACCUGGUUUCAAAAUGCUGGUACAGACGCUUAUGGAAAAUACCUGGGCGAAGAUCACCGCUGCCAGUGAAGUCGAUACAUUUCACAGUCUCCAAAUUCAAAAAAAGAUGGGCAAGUGCUUCACAUUGACAGAGAAAUUGACUUUGGUUAACAACACUCUCACUAUAUGUGUCACGCCCGGUGUGGCAGGCGUGUGGAGAUUGUAGAGAGGACCCAAAAGGCGGCAGCUCUGGUGCAGGUGAGUCUUUAUUUACACACGUGAGUACAAACAACAACGGCAGGUGAACAAGAACUGAAAAACCUAAACUGGGAAGAGCUAACAAACAAACCUGAAACCUUGGGUCGAGAAACGGAGAUGCGGGGGAAAACACGAGAACACGGAGGGGAGCAACACAGACGAACCAGCAACUAACAGAGGCAGACACGAGGUUUAAAUACACAGAAGGAUAACGAGGGAAUGAGACACAAAAGGAGGGCACAGCUGGGAGUAAUCAGACCUGACGAGACAGGGGAAAAGUAAACUGAACACACUAAGAUAAGACAGAGACCUUUAAAGUAAAACAGGAAACACAUACACGUAAUGACACAGACUAAACACAGGGAUACACGGGUAGAAAAGAAUGAACACUAACCGAGGAAGAACAGAACCAAAAUUACAAUAAUAGAAAACACAAAACGCUGAGUCAAAAGGACCCAGGAUCAUGACAGUACCCCCCCCUCAAGGGCUGGCCCCAGACAGCCCAAAACAAGGAAACCAAGAAACGCCCAAAAACAGAAAACAACCCGACCAGGGCGGGCGGUGGGGGCCCAGGAAGGAGGGCCCGAAGCCAAAACAAAACAGGAGCACCAGAAAACACAACACGAGCCCAAAACCAAAAGAAGACAAAAAGGAAACACACCAGAGCACAGGAAAACAGGCCAAAACAGAACACCACAGGGGCUGGCCGUGAGGAUGGCGACGUGGACACAGUUCAGGGGGACGGCCAGGGGGCCGACAGCACCGGAGCCCAAACAGUUCAGGGGGCCGGCCGUGCGGACGGCAGCGGCGCCGACGUGGGCACAGUUCAGGGGGCCGGCCCGGGGGCCGACAACACAGGAGCCCGGACAGUUCAGGGGGCCGGCCGUGAGGACGGCAGCGGUGGCGAUGUGGACCCAGUUCAGGGGGCCGGCCGUGCGGAUGGCAACGGCGGCGACUCAGGCGAAGGCGGUCCGGGGGCCGCCCACGACGGCAAUGUCGCCUGGCCCGUGGCCUGGAAAGUGGCCAGUUAGCUGCAGACCCAGACGGGGCAGGACCAGGCGAUGCUGAAAGCGAAGACUCGGAGGCUGGACCAGACGGGGCUGAAGACUCGGAGGCUGGACCAGACGGGGCUGAAGACUCGGAGGCUGGACCAGACGGGGCUGAAGACUCGGAGGCUGGACCAGACGGGGCUGAAGACUCGGAGGCUGGACCAGACGGGGCUGAAGACUCGGAGGCUGGACCAGACGGGCUGAAGACUCGGAGGCUGGACCAGACGGGGCUGAAGACUCGGAGGCUGGACCAGACGGGGCUGAAGACUCGGAGGCUGGACCAGACGGGGCUGAAGACUCGGAGGCUGGACCAGACGGGGCUGAAGACUCGGAGGCUGAUGAGGCUGCAGGCGACGGCGUGGAAGCCGGAGACGAAGGCGCUGCAGGCGACGGCGUGGAAGCCGGAGACGAAGGCGCUGCAGGCGACGGCGUGGAAGCCGGAGACGAAGGCGCUGCAGGCGACGGCGUGGAAGCCGGAGACGAAGGCGCUGCAGGCGGCGGCGUGGAAGCCGGAGACGAAGGCGCUGCAGGCGGCGGCGUGGAAGCCGGAGACGAAGGCGCUGCAGGCGGCGGCGUGGAAGCCGGAGGCGGUGGCGCUGCAGGCGGCGGCGUGGAAGCCGGAGGCGGUGGCGCUGCAGGCGGCGGCGUGGAAGCCGGAGGCGGUGGCGCUGCAGGCGGCGUGAAUGAAGAGGCUGCAGCUGGCGUGGAAGCCGGAGACGGAGGCGCUGCAGGCGGCGGCGUGGAAGCCGGAGGCGGUGGCGCUGCAGGCGGCGGCGUGGAAGCCGGAGGCGGUGGCGCUGCAGGCGGCGUGAAUGAAGAGGCUGCAGCUGGCGUGGAAGCCAGAGACGGAGGCGCUGCAGGCGGCGGCGUGGAAGCCGGAGGCGGUGGCGCUGCAGCUGGCGUGAAUGAAGAGGCUGCAGCUGGCGUGGAAGCGGAGACGGAGGCGCUGCAGGCGGCGGCGUGGAAGCCGGAGACGGAGGCGCUGCAGGCGGCGUGAAUGAAGAGGCUGCAGCUGGCGUGGAAGCCGGAGACGGAGGCGCUGCAGCUGGCGGCGGCGUGGAAGCCGGAGACGGAGGCGCUGCAGCUGGCGUGAAUGAAGAGGCUGCAGCUGGCGUGAAUGAAGAGGCGGCAGCUGGCGUGGAAGCCGGAGACGGAGGCGCUGCAGGCGGCGGCGUGGAAGCCGGAGGCGGUGGCGCUGCAGCUGGCGUGAAUGAAGAGGCUGCAGCUGGCGUGGAAGCCGGAGACGGAGGCGCUGCAGGCGGCGGCGUGGAAGCCGGAGGCGGUGGCGCUGCAGCUGGCGUGAAUGAAGAGGCUGCAGCUGGCGUGAAUGAAGAGGCGGCAGCUGGCGUGGAAGCCGGAGACGGAGGCGCUGCAGGCGGCGGCGUGGAAGCCGGAGGCGGUGGCGCUGCAGGCGGCGUGAAUGAAGAGGCUGCAGCUGGCGUGGAAGCCGGAGACGGAGGCGCUGCAGGCGGCGGCGUGGAAGCCGGAGGCGGUGGCGCUGCAGCUGGCGUGAAUGAAGAGGCUGCAGCUGGCGUGGAAGCCGGAGACGGAGGCGCUGCAGGCGGCGGCGUGGAAGCCGGAGACAGAGGCGCUGCAGGCGGCGUGAAUGAAGAGGCUGCAGCUGGCGUGGAAGUCGGAGACGGAGGCGCUGCAGGCGGCGGCGUGGAAGCCGGAGACGGAGGCGCUGCAGGCGGCGUGAAUGAAGAGGCUGCAGCUGGCGUGGAAGCCGGAGACGGAGGCGCUGCAGCAGGCGGCGGCGUGGAAGCCGGAGGCGCUGCAGCUGGCGGCGGCGUGGAAGCCGGAGGCGCUGCAGGCUGGACGGAUCCCUUGGAUCCUCCAGCGACGACAGGAAGCAAAGGCCGGACGGAUCCCUUGGACCCUCCAGCGACGACAGGAAGCAAAGGCCGGACGGAUCCCUUGGACCCUCCAGCGACGACAGGAAGCAAAGGCCGGACGGAUCCCUUGGACCCUCCAGCGACGACAGGAAGCAAAGGCCGGACGGAUCCCUUGGACCCUCCAGCGACGACAGGAAGCAAAGGCCGGACGGAUCCCUUGGACCCUCCAGCGACGACAGGAAGCAAAGGCCGGACGGGCCCCUCGGACCCUCCAGCGACGACAGGAAGCAAAGGCUGGAGCGGUCCUUCGGACCCUCCAGCAGAGACACGAGGCAAAGGCCGGAGCGGUCCUUCGGACCCUCCAGCGGAGACACGAGGCAAAGAGUCCACUAGCCGACAUAAAGGCAGCUGGCAAUGCACUGAGCACUGGCUUUGCCCAGGCAACGCUAACACGGAGGAGUUCUCUGAGGGCUGCUUAAUCUUCAGGGGUCCAGUAAUAGCUGGGGGGUAAAACCUAGCUUCUGGGGAGGCCCUGGAGUGCAUUACUUCGCCUGAAGCAGCUAAAGCACAAGAAUCUCCCUGGGAGGAACUUAGACUUUCUCCCUGCAUGAAGUGAUUGUGUGAGACUGGUGACGGAAUGAGCGACGGAGCUACGGGG
ensembl:lncRNA